GACAGAGGGUGCAAGCGUUGCUCGGAAUCACUGGGCGUAAAGGGCGUGUAGGCGGGUAGGAAAGUCAGAUGUGAAAUCCCUGGGCUCAACCCAGGAACUGCAUUUGAAACUCCCUUUCUUGAGUGCCGGAGAGGAAGGCGGAAUUCCUGGUGUAGAGGUGAAAUUCGUAGAUAUCAGGAGGAACACCGGUGGCGAAGGCGGCUUUCUGGACGACAACUGACGCUGAGACGCGAAAGCGUGGGGAGCAAACAGG
rnacentral:rRNA from 1 species